UAAAUUAUGACUUAUAUUUCUUUCUGUGUCAUAUUGGAUAAGAAACAUUUUAUAAUGUAAAUAUGCAGAUUUUAGAAUACAUUUAAAUUUUAAGUUAGAGGCCUGAUAUUUCAUGGUUGUUUCUAAGCUUUGGCUGUUAUGAGCCUACGGCCUGGGCUGUAGCACAUUGCAUCAUACCAGGUGGCAUUUGAACCUGCAGGCUUCCAUUCAUGGUUCAGCCAGGUUACUUUAAACAGAUCCUUGCAGGAUCUUUAUAAGGAAAAGAUGAUGGUAGGGGUACUAUAUCUUUUGGGGUUCAAUUUUAUUAAUAGAAUUAACAAAUUUAAGUUUUUCAGAAUAAGAAAUUUGGGGGAAAUGUUUUUUAAAAUAUUUUUAUUGUUGAAGAUUUCAUACAUGUGUACUAUAAAAUAUGAUCAUAUUUCCCCCAAUUCUUCCCUUGUCUCCUCCCACCCCAACUGCAUCUUUUUAUAACCCACUAAACCCAGUUAAUGUUACCUGUAUGUGCAGGGAUGUGAAGCCAUCCACUGGAGCAUGGGACUCCUAUCUAUUACUGACCACAUCCUCAAAAACAUAGUGAUUCUUCCUCUCUCGCCCAGAAACUAUCAACUGCCAAUAGCUCCUCAGUAAGGGGUGAGGCUUGGAGAUCGAUGAUCUGCCCCAUCUAUUGCCAGAAUUUUGACCGGCUUGAUCUUGUAUGGGAGAUGACAGCUACUAUGAAUGUGUGAUGCAGAGUCACACUGUGUCCAGGAGGAACGCUUCACAGCACUCUUCCCAUCCUUUAGCUCUUACAGUGCUUCUGCCUUCCUCCUCAGCGAUGCUGCCUGAACCUUGGUGAAAAGGCAUUGCUACAGAUGUCCCAUUGGAAUGUGAGCACUCAAGUCUGUCAUUCUCAGCACUCCGACCAGUUGUGCUUCCCCCUUGACUACAGCCCACUUUAAAGAGAAGCUUCUGUAGCCAAGGUUGAGAGCACCAAAGGCCUUUGUCCUCCACAGGCCUGAGAUUUUUAUCCAGGAUUACGGUAUGAAAUUCCUGGCAUGAAAUUCUCUCUUGUGAAGCAGGCCUCUGUCUUAGUCAAGGUUUCUAUUCCUGCUCAAACAUCAUGACCAAGAAGCAAGUUAGGGAGGAAAGGGUUUAUUUGGCUUAUACUUCCGUACUGCUGUUCAUCACCAAAGGAAGUCAGGACUGGAACUCAAGCAGGUCAGGAAGCAGGAGCUGAUGCAGAGACCAUGGAGGGAUGUUCCUUACUGGCUUGCUUCCCCUGGCUUGCUCAGCCUGCUCUCUUAUAGAACUCAGACUACCAGCCCAGAGAUGGUCCCACCCACAAGGGGCCUUUCCCCCUUGAUCACUAAUUGAGGAAAUGCCUUACAGUUGGAUCUCGUGGAGGCAUUUCCCCAACUGAAGCUCCUUUCUCUGUGAUAACUCCAGCUGUGUCAAGUUGACACAAAACUAGCCAGUACAGCCUCAAAUCCAAUCAGAAAGUGAUUAUUUAUCCCUGUCUUGGUCAUUGUUACUGUGAGGAAACACCAUUACCAACACAACUCUAACAAGAUUAAGAAUUUAAUUAGGGCUUGAUACUGUUUCAGAGAUUUAGUCCAUCAUCAUCAUCAUGGGGAGCAUACAGCACACAAGCAGACAACGUGCUGAAAAAGUAGCUGAAAGUUCUAUCUUCUGAUCUUCAGGCAGUGGAGAGACAGGGCCUUUCAUGGGCUUUUAAAACCUCAAAUCCCAUCCCCAAUAACAUACUUCCUCCAAUGAGGCCACACCUACUCCAACAAGGCCACACCCACUAAUCCUUCUCAAGUAGUGCCACUCCCUGAUGGCCGAAGCAUUCAAAUAUAUGGGCCUAUGGGGCUAUUCUUAUUCAGACCUUCAUGUCACUAUUGCAUCAAUGGGCAUAUCUUGCCUGCAAGGUCCAAAUUGCAGCAUACAUGGUCCAGUGCUGGGAAAGACCAUUGAAUGCACACACUACUCCCUCCUCUUCCUCUUCCUCUUCCUCUUCCUCCUCCUCUUCCUCUUCUUCCUAUUUUUCCUUUUCUUCCUCUUCUUCCUCUUCCUCUUCCUCCUCCUGCCAUCCCCACUUAAUCUUUUAAUCCCAGUCCCCCUUCUCCUUUCAUCUCACAUCAUCCCAUUAAAUAAUAAUUAUUAUUAUUAUUAUUAUUGUUAUUAUUAUUAUUAUAUUGUGAGAUGGUAGGAUUCCAUGUGGGUUUGCAUGUAUUUUCAGGGGUUUCAUCCCCUCUCUCUCCUGUUUUCCCCUAUGCUCCCAUGCCCCUCCCUGCUUAAACCUUUCCACCUACCGUAUUCUGCUUCUCUACUUUGGUAUUACUUAUAAUCUACUAUCUCCUUCUCUAAAAGCACCACACAGGCUCCUUUCUAGUUUCUUGCUUCUACUUGAACUCUUAAGUUAAAUACACAAAACAGAAGAUGUGAAGUUAAAUCUACAUUUGAGGGAGAACACACAGUGUUUGCCUUUCUCAGCUUGGGUGACCUUAUUUAGUAUAGGUUUUUUUUUCCCAGUUCUAUGCAUUUAUAAUUAAAUAAUUUCGUUAUUCUUUACAGUUGAGUUGUACUUCACUGUGUAAAUGCUGUUUUAAAUGAGAGUGCUUUAUAAGAGGAAACAAAAGAAGGAACACUCAAUGUUUGAAGGAAUAUGUUUUUAUAAAAUGAAAUAUUCUGUCAUUAUUAUUCCAGUUUUUAAAUUUUUUCACUAUUUUGUCUGGGGGAGUAGUAUUUUUCCAUGGAGAAUAGGCUCCUAUACAAUAAUAACUGAGUUAAGCUAGAAGAAAAUGGCUGGCAUCAAGAAAUAUGUUUUGUAUUUCUUUGAGAAUGUCACCUGUUCCCAGUUCCAUAUUAGUUGUAUUUGCCAGAGAGCAGUGGGUCACAAACUGUGGGUCAUGACCCCUUUCUGAAUUGAUCCUUUCACAGGGUCACCUAUUGGUUAUCCUACAUACCAGAUAUUUACAUUACAGUUCAUAACAUUAGCAAAAUUAGUUAUAAAGUAGCAACAAAAUAAUUUUAUGGUUGGGGGUCACCACGAAAUGAGGAAGCUGUAUUACAGGGUCACAGCAUUAGGAAGGUUGAGAACACUACCCAGACAAUACUACAGUUUUCUCUGUGGGUCAAACUAAGUGGUUCCUACAGUGCAUGUAUUAGUCUGUAGUCAUGGAUUGUAAUAUUUUUUUGCCAGACAGUACAGUAAGUGCCUGGAAGAGUAAGUGCCAGGUAAGUAGCUUCUAAAACAUACUGUUUAAAUCUACCGAAAGCUGUCUGUCUUCUGCUCUUAGAAACUGUCCCCUAGUUAUCAGUGUGCCUUCAUGUUUAGUAGUCGUAUCUCAUUAUUCCUUAGCCUUGCUUUGCCCUCCACAUCCUUUUAGAAUCUUAGAACCCGGUAUACUACAGUUUUGAGGCUUCUUUAUAAUACUAUUAUACUGAAUGUAAAAAUGUAAUAUCAGUAGAACUCAUGUAUUUUCUGUAUGUGCCAUACUACUAAUGUUCUCUUUGCUUAACUUUUAAUAUAAGCUGAAUGGAGAAAUUUUAUUAUCAUAGUAUACUUGAGAGAGCUUCUCUUUGAUUCUGUAUGACAUGUUUAUGAGGUACAUUCAUGAGAAAAAGAUUACUUCCCUACUUAGUUAUUCACCCUGGGAGCUUUUUAGUGAUUGCUUAUUGUUAUUAUUGCGAGGAUAUUAACCUUUCAUCAAGGAAGUUUUAAUCCAAAACCCAAAAUUACAAAUUACUUUUAAAAUAUGUUUAAAAUUUGCAGUUCAUUUCAUAGAUAAUAACCCAAUUCACAUAUAAUAUUUAGUUUCAUAGAUAGUUUUUCAAAAACUUACUGAGUGAGGACACACAAAAAUGACUUUUUGAGGGCUGAAAAUCCAGUUUUUGCUACUGAUAAGAUUAAAACAGCACUGAAUGUGACUGUAGCUUGUAUAUACAUCAUUGACCAGUACAUAUAGGAAAGAUGCUGAAAGUUCAAAGACACAAGCUCUAGCUCUUCCAGCUGUGUAAAUUUCUAAAAUAUGUUGAGCAUCAAGUUUCUGAUGACCAUAAAAAGAUUUAGACCAGUGACCUUUAAGUUGUAUUUUUCUCUGAUACUCUGAUUCUAUUAACAGUGAAAGAAGUUAAGUAAGAACAGAAAGGGAUAAACUGUUUUACGUUUGUGUAUUUAGUUGUGUGUGUGUGAGUGGGUAGGUGAGGUGGAAGUGUGUGCCACAGUAGAUGUGUGGUGGUCAGAGGCUGGUUUCAGGACCUGAUUCUCUCCUUUCACCACGUGGGUCCAGGGGAUCACACUCAAGCCGUCAGCCUUGAUAGAAAGUGAGCCAGAAGCAGGGUGAAGCUUAAACACUUACACUGUCAUCUUUUUGCAGUGGACUUAGACUAUUCUCUAGCCUCCAUGCCUUUCAACUUAAAGUCUGAGGGACUCCACCUUUUUAUGACACUCCAUAAUACUCACUUUCCCUGGGUCAUUUGUGUUUGGAGAAAGGCAUUGAGUUCUAGAUUUAUGUUUGAUGUUUGUUUUUGUAAUACAGUAUGAGCCAGGACAGUACUGAAUGCAAGCCUGUGACAAAGGAAAGUCUCAUUUUUGAAGGUUAGAAGUAAAGGAAAGUUUUGGCAGGUGUGUAUUCUCUGUCUUCUCCAUGCUAUGGAUCCCAUAGAGACUAGUGGUAAUCUGAGGGAAAUACCUGUUUAAAGGUAAUAUUAAUAUGAUAUAGUUAAUAAUUUUAAUAACAUAAUAAAGUUAAUUCUAUUCCAGGAAAAGAAUAAUUGUGUUCAUAGAACUAAUGUAGAUAACAAAUUGGUCUUUAAUUUCCUGUUUGUUUUAAGAAGAUUUAAAUUUCUGUCAUUGGACAUGUAUAUGUUCCUGCAAGUCCUCUCAUGCCUUUACUCCAUCCUUGGAUCUAUGGAAGGAAAAUGCACAUUCACAGGUGUUAGGUCUGUAGUGGAAAAGCUAGUCACCCUUACCUCCUUGUCAGUCAGGACGGGAGUGCCACCUGUUUGGGCACUUUGCAAGGUUGUGAUGGUGCUGAUUAUGACAAACAGUGAGUAUGGAACUGCCACAGUGACUGUAAAUAGGAGUUGCUGUCCUGUGAUUAAACAGCAUCCUAUUUAGUUUCAACAAUUCUAACAUUUUAAUGCACAUUUAUUAUACCUAAUAUUUUCUGGUGUUUCAGAUCUUUGCAAAUGUAGUGCUUACUUUAUUUUUAUUUUUUUUCUUAGUCCCAGAAUUUUUUCUAUUAUAGGAUUACCUGAUAUCAUAUAGCCAAAUAUUUAAUAUGUUUAGAAAAGCUGUAUCUUCAUAUUUCUAUAGUUUGGACCUUUGUUUACUUCACUCUAAGGGAUCAGUGUCAUCUGUAGGUUAAUAUUCCAUGUCACUUGCUUAUCAGAAGUUUUUAAGUAGAUUUAGACUUUUAUAACAUGAAAAUUUACUCUCUUAGGACAUUCUCUUUUUAAUGUUGUUUAAACAGUAGGUGUUAUAACCAAGCCUUUCCUCAAUAACCCAGUUCUGGCCUGUCACCACGGUUCAUGUGAACAUCGGUGAACUUGAAACAGUGAAAACUACAUUCGAAGUCUUGAUACAAAUCAAACAAGUUAGCCAAAGCAACAAUGAAAUUAAUAACUGGUUUAAUACAGCAGCUGAAUGGUGGCAUUUCUUCUUCCUUUACUUGAAGUGAUAGUAUUGUGACUUACCACUUAUACACACUUUCUUCAUUUUUAUGCUAUAUAAGAUUAAGGAUAACUUGAGAUUACUCAUGAAGAGCCAGGGGUUAUAUGGGAUGACUAUUUGCAUCUGUUCAAAGUCUUACCAAUUUCAAGUAAAUACCAAUCAGCAAGGAAUACCCUAAUUUAAGGGAAGACCCAGAGAGCAGGCUUUUCUUCAGAAAUAAUUAAAAUAAUGUCACACAGAACUUCUUUCUCUUUCUGCUGUUCUACCUCCCUGCUUCCUUGAAAAUCCUGCCUCACUAGGCUUCAGGCCCCAUAUAGAACAGGGACAAUGAUAUUAAUUCAGACCCAGGAGCUGGGUCAGAGAGGGAGGUGGGGUCACCUCCCAGAUAAUGUUUGGUGGGCAUUGGGAAAGUGAAUUUAAGAUACCAGCAUUAGAAAGAGUAACACUUGGGAGCCCAGAAGACACCAACUACGGCAUUGUGUAGUAUUUAUUUAAAUCUAAUGAAAACAGUCAGGGCCUCACACCAGUUUUGUUGGGGCCUGACAAAACUUUUUAAAUUGGAUAUUUUCUUCAUUUACAUUUCAAAUGCUAUCCCAAAAGUCCCCUAUACUCUCCCGCCCACCCUGCUCCCCUACCCACUCACUCCCACUUCUUGGCCCUGGCUUUCCCCUGUACUGGGGCAUAUAAAGUUUGCUAGACCAAGGGUCCUCUCUUCCCAGUGAUGGCCAACUAGGCCAUCUUCUGCUACAUAUGCAGCUAGAGACAAGAGUUCUGGGGGUACUGAUUAGUUCAUAUUGUUAUUCCACCUAUAGGGUUGCAGACCCCUUCAGCUCUUGGGUACUUUCUUUAGCUCCAACAUCAGGGGCCCUGUGUUCCAUCCUAUAGAUGACUGUGAGCAUCCACUUCUGUAUUUGCCAGGCCCUGGCAUAGCCUCACAGGAAACAGUUAUACCAGGGUCCUUUCAGCAAAAUCUUGCUGGUGUAUGCAAUAGUGUCUGCGUUUGGUGGCUGAUUAUGGGAUGGACCCCUGAGUGGGGCAGUCUCUGUAUGGUCCAUCCUUUCGUCUUAGCUCUAAACUUUGUCUCUGCAACUCCUUCUGUGGAUAUUUUUGAAUAACAUCUUUUUAACACCAUGAGUCUAAAGCCUAGAUAGCUGUGGUUAGUUGUUCCACAGAAUCUGCCUUUUUGCAUGUCUUUGUUUUCUCUGUUACUUCCUGAGUAUCCAGAACUAAAAUGUGUCAUUGCCAAGUUCUAAAAUAUCAGUUGUGUCUGAUCAUAAUAUUUAACAUGAAACAAAUGACAUCAUUGUGAAAACUCCAAAGAUUCACUAAUGGAGUAAAGUAUCUUUCCAGAAUUACCUACUCAAAUUGCAACCAAUUAAACUAUUAAAAAUCACCUUUACUAAAAAUAAUUUUACCUAAAAUACUUGUGUAGUGAAAUUCGCUCUUAAAUAUUUAAGAUGGGUAUGAAUGGAAAGCGGUUAUAUGUAUUUUUAAAGAAUGUUAACUGUUUCAUUACCUUUAGCAAUUGCCUGUUUUAAUUCAAUGGGUCUGGUACAUUUUAGAUUUAUUUUAAAUACUAAAAUUAUGGCCUUGAUUAAAAGCUGAGCAUAUUUUAAAAAGAGAAAAAUAACAUUUUAAGAGGGGUUGGUAUCAUUAUGGAAGUGAGAUUGUUUUUUAACAAGUGGUCAGUAGAUUGGGUUUUUGUUUGAUUUAGUUUAUUUAAACAGAAUCUAUUGUGUCAUCAAAGAGAUGAAAACUAAAUUUUCAUAAGUUAUUUUGAUAAAUAUUUUCUUCAAUUUCAUUUUUUUUUAAUUAAUGAUGUUUGGGAAAAUAAACCAAGUGGCCUAUUAUGUGUGGUCAAGGGUGUGUUUAUAGCACAGCCCCACUUGGCUGUCCUGGAGCUCACACUGUGAAGUGUCGUGAAGUGAGAAGACAGUGUUAACAGACUUGUCCAGAACUGCACUGCUGCUGCUUCUGUGGCUCGUUGCUUUUCAUUUCCUUGCGUCAUCUUUUAGUGCUCUAUGAAGACACGUUUAAAACUACAUCUUAUGAAAUAGUUGAGGGAGCUGGAGGAUUCCCUAAGAAGCUUCUUCAUUAAGCUUCUCAGAAAUAUCCUUCUAUAUUCAUAUUUAAAUGAACAUAUCAAUCAUAUUUUGCCAUUUUGUUUGUUAGAAGCUUAUAUAUAACAUCCAAAAUUUGAAUCAGAACUAAUUUUCAAAUAGUCUGUUUUGUGGCUGUCUUGGUUAUGGUUUCUAUUGCUGUGAUAAAAUACCAUGACCAAAACCAACUCGGGGAGGAAAGAGCUUAUCUUUCACCUUCCUGUAACAGUCCAUAAUGAAGGGAAGUCAGUGUAGGAGCUCAGGGCAAGAAUCUGGAGGCAGGAACAGAUGAGCAGGCCGUGGAGGGGUGCUGCUUAUUGACUUGCUCCUCCUGACUUGUAAUGACGAUGACAAGGGGCCUCUUUACUCCCAGAGUCCCUUUUCAACAAAGUUAAGCGGCACAUGAAUUUAUUAAUCUAAUGUUUACUAUACUCCCAUUUUGAGAUAGUCAUUACUAAAAUAAUGUCUUCCAUACUCUUUUAACAAUUGUCAAACUUUAUUUUUUCCUUCAGCCUUCUACCUUCUAUCUUCUUUGGAUAUCCGGUUGCCUUGCUUGAUUAGGCCUCUAGUAUAGUGCUGAAUGUAAGUAGUAAGAGCAGAUGGCCCCGUCUUGUUCCCCUUCUUAGGGGGGCAGCAUUCACUCUGCUAAGACAGAAUUUUCAGCUGUGAGGUAUUCAUACACGUCCAUUACUAGUUAUGGAAGCUGUGAGGUAUUCAUACACGUCCAUUACUAGUUAUAGAAGCUCCCUUUGGUUCCUGGUUUGCUGCUGUUACAGCAUUUUGUGAUAAGCCUUGUCUGUAUCUACUGAGAUGAUAGCUUUUAUCCCUUGUUCCAUCAUUGUGGCAUAUUACAUUGGCUGCGUGUUUGUGUGAGGGAGUACAUACAUGAGUGGAGGUGCAUGUGUGUGCUGAGCAUGUUGGCAGCUGGUGACGGUACUCAGGUGCUGCCCAGUGUUUGAAAGUUCACUGUAUGGGCCAAGCUAGCUGAACCUCAAGCUAACAACCUCAAGCUAACAGGAAGCUGCCUAUCUCCCUCCACCUCUGAGCUUACUGUCACUGGGAUCGCAGGCUCAGUUUACCGUGACCGGCUUUUUAUGUGAGUUCUGGAGAUCAGAUUGAGAUCAUAACAUUUGCAAAGCAAAUGCUUUAUCAACUGAGCCAUCUCCCAGCCUAUUGCUGUUUUCCAUUUGUUAACAUCACCUUACAUUCCCAAAUACUACUUUGUCAUGACAGCUUACUAGUUUUUUAAGGGUUUUUGUGCUAUGCAUAAAAGAUACACGUGUUUAUUGUGUUUUUGUUCUGAUGCCUUUUUGCCAUGCUCUGAUAAUUUACUCUCAAGGAAUGAACUAGAAAAUAUUGUCUCUUCUUGUGUUUUGGGUUUUUUGAAGUUUUUUUCAAUAUGUGCUGAUAUGUUAGUGCAGCUAGAACAAAAGACCAAAAAGCAGGCCCCUUACAGCAGCAACUUUUUUCUUGAUAGAUGUUUGAAAUUAUUGUUGGUAGGUGGUGGUUCCACUGGAAAUCAGAUGUCAGUGCCUACACUGGCCUGUAAAUGUGUCACUCUAGUCUGUAUUGUAUCUUCAGAUGGCACUGUCCCUAUAUAUCUCUGUGUCUGUUUUCUUUUCCAACAAGGGUGGCAGCCAUAUUGGACUAGGAGCUAACUUCUCUAACAUUGGCCUCCCUUGGAAACACAUCUUCACAAGUCUGCAAAGACUUUCUCACCAGCUAUAGCAGAUGUUAGGAUUUGAAUGUUUCUUUGUAGAAAAUACAUUUACUCUACAAUGAAUGGAGCUUACCGGUGAAGCCAUCUGAAACAGGGUUGACUUACUGGGAAGUUUGAUUGCCUCUGGUGUGGCAUAGUAAUUCAGUUUCUUACUCAUGUAUUCAGAUUCCCUAUUUCCUUUUAAGACAUUUCAAAGCUUAUGUAUUUAUAGGAAUUUUUGCAAUCUGUUUGAAGUUGUCUGAUUCAUUUAAUUUCAGGUAAUAGCCCUUACUAGCUUUUUUCUCAAGGUCAUAAUAAUGCUCCCUUUUCAAGUAGAAAGAAAAGAGUGUAGUAGUUGUGCUGCUGUCCCUUACUUCCUGGGCCACGCCAGUUAGAUGGUUGUCAGUUUUCCUCGUCCUCUCAAAGAAUUAGGUUUUAUUUUGUUGGAUUUUUCUCUGUUGUUCUUAAAAUGUCUUUCCGCUCCCAUCUUUGUUUAAAUUCCUGUUUUAUUGCUUUGGGCUUAGUGUAGUAAUUUUCUAGUUUUGUUUUGUGUUGCUAGAGAGUUUUGAUGAUUUGAGAACUGACUUUUUCUUAAUAAAGUCACAAAUGGCUAUAAACUUCUCUGAACUGGUCUUUGCUGCAUCUCGUACGGCGUAUUUUGGUUUCAUUUGUCUCAAAAUACUAAUUUACUUUAAAUUUUACCUUUGAAUCGUUAUUUAAUUUACAUGCUUUUAAAUUUCCCAAGUUUCCUUCUGUUAAUGAUUUCUAAUUCAAUUUAACUGUUUUAGAAAAUUUAAGUGAGACCUGUUUUUUGGCCUAACCAGUUGUUUAUUCUCAUUUACCCACAGAAAGUGUCCCAUAAGCCCCUGAAAAGAAGCUUCUGUGCUCUGCAGACAGAUGCUACACAGGUGGCACACCGUGCCCAAGUCUACACACACAGGUAGCACACAGUGCCCAAGUCUACACACACAGGUGGCACAUAGUGCCCAAGUCUACACAGGUGACACACAGUGCCCAAGUCUACACAGGUGGCACACAGUGCCCAAGUCUACACACACAGGUGGCACACCGUGCCCAAGUCUUCACACACAGGUGGCACACCGUGACCAAGUCUACACACACAGGUGCCACACAGUGCCCAAGUGUACACAUACAGGUGGCACACAGUGCCCAAGUCUACACACACAGGUGGCACACCGUGCCCAAGUCUACACACACAGGUGGCACACAGUGCCCAAGUGUACACAUACAGGUGGCACACAGUGCCCAAGUCUACACACACAGGUGGCACACAGUGCCCAAGUGUACACAUACAGGUGGCACACAGUGCCCAAGUCUACACACACAGGUGGCACACAGUGCCCAAGUCUACAUACACAGGUGGCACACCGUGCCCAAGUCUACACAGGUGACACACAGUGCCCAAGUCUACACAGGUGGCACACAGUGCCCAAGUCUACACACACAGGUGGCACACCGUGCCCAAGUCUACACACACAGGUGGCACACAGUGCCCAAGUGUACACAUACAGGUGGCACACAGUGCCCAAGUCUACACACACAGGUGGCACACAGUGCCCAAGUCUACACAGGUGACACACAGUGCCCAAGUCUACACAGGUGGCACACAGUGCCCAAGUCUACACACACAGGUGGCACACAGUGCCCAAGUCUACACAGGUGGCACACAGUGCCCAAGUCUACACACACAGGUGGCACACAGUGCCCAAGUCUACACAGGUGACACACAGUGCCCAAGUCUACACAGGUGGCACACAGUGCCCAAGUCUACACACACAGUUGGCACACAGUGCCCAAGUCUACACAGGUGACACACAGUGCCCAAGUCUACACAGGUGGCACACAGUGCCCAAGUCUACACAGGUGACACACAGUGCCCAAGUCUACACAGGUGGCACACAGUGCCCAAGUCUACACACACAGGUGGCACACAGUGCCCAAGUCUACACAGGUGGCACACAGUGCCCAAGUCUACACACACAGGUGGCACACAGUGCCCAAGUCUACACAGGUGACACACAGUGCCCAAGUCUUCUCGUGCCUCUUGCUCUUCCUGUAUGGGAAGAAGGAAGCAUUGUUGACUUCAACUGUUAUUGAAGAAUUGUGUCUGUGGUUUUUCAGUUUUGUCAGUUGUUGCUUUUGUUUUUGGACUACAUUACUGGGUGACAUUUUUAUCAUUAUAAGUUGUUAAUCUUUGUCUCAUAUUAAAUUUUCUUAGAAUAUAUUUGGGCUGAUACUGACUUAGCCACUCUAGCUCUCUUUUUGUUUAUUCUUACAUGAUACAUCUUUUUUACAAUCAGUUUUUACUGUCACCUCAUUGGUGUAUUUAAAUCUAACAGAGAACUCCUGUAGCUGUAGUACUAUUGUGACAUGUUGUCUGACACAUGUUCUGCCAGUCCUUAACUUUUGGUUGGGAAGUUUAGUCUAUCUACAGCUAAUGUGAUUGCUGAUAACAAAGUCCCAUAUUACCAUUUAUUUAUUUACUUAUUUAUUUUGUUUAUUUCUUACUCCUUGUUUCUCUGCCUCUCCAUUACAGUUUUAUUUUGUGUGAGGUAUGUUCUAAUAUGCUGCUUUAUUUACCUUUCUACUACUCUGUUUUUCAAGUUAUUUUCUUAGUGAGUUUUCUGGGAAUUAUAAUUAACAUCUUAAUUUAAAAUAAUCUAAUUCAAGUGAGCACCAACCUAAUUUCAGGAGUAUGUAAAAUUUGCUUAGUGUGUGCCUCAUCGAUUUUCCUUCUCCAUUUUUGCUGUUAUUAUCAUACAAAUUGCAUCUGUAUAUAUUAGAAGUUUAUUAACAAAUAUUUAGAUUUAUUGCUCUAUUCAAUGUCUUUUAAAUUGGAUAGUAAAGAGUUAUAUUGGUUUUGCAUUCCUGCCUUAACAAAUUAUGUAAAACAUAAAAUUAUUUACCUUGUAAGCUUGAAUGACAUUAGUCCAAACUUGUCACCCAGGAAUAGAUUUCUUCUGGGAAUUGCAAGAAAGGCUCUUGCUUUGUGUUUUCCUUUUUUGUUUUCUGCUCUUCUUCUUGACUCAUGCUCCCUUUCUCCAUCUUCUAAUCCAACAGCAAUGGGAUUUUGACCUCACCCUGAUUAACUCUGUAUCCUGGCUUCUUCUUACAAAGGGAAGGGAGAAGAGGUGUACCUCUUAUAAAGAUACUAAGCUGACAUCUAAUGGUCAAGAGCACUCUCCCUUUGAACGGUCUCUCAUCAGGUCUACAAAGUUGUUUUUUUUCCAUAGAAGGAGGCAGUGCUGAGCUAUGGUAGGAGAUCAGGAGACCUCUGGCAGAGAAGAAAUGGAUGAAGAGUCUAAGUUGAGGAGAGGUGUCUUAGUCAGCAUUUCUAUUCCUGCACAAAAAUUAUGACCAAGAAGCAACUUGGGAAGGAAAGGGUUUAUUCAGCUUACACUUCCACAUUGCUGUUCAUCACUAAAGGAAGUCAGGACUGGAACUCAAGCAGGACAGGAAGCAGGAGCUGAUGCAGAGGCCAUAGAGGGAUGUUCCUGCCACAUGCCCAGCCUGAGCUGCUUUCCCUAACUGCAGAAGAAGAUUCCAUAACCCCUUUCCUGUAUUCUUCUUGACUUUAAAGCCAGAACCAAAUGGCUAUUGCAAACUAAUCUUGGCUUACUGCUGAGAAUAGAGGCUGGCCCCCUUCUUGAAUCACAAUUGUAUAAGCUUUAAUUUGAUGGUGUUUGUUAGAUGCAGAAAAUUCCUCAGUGCUUUCCUUAUUUACAAGUUGGAAGCUUAGCUAAGUGGGCUCUUGCCCAGAGGACACCAUUCCCUGUAUUCUGUUUCACACCAGGCCUUUCUUUAUUCUUCUCAUGUCUCAGCACAAGUCUUGACUCCAACUUUAAGUUACCUGGUGCGCUUUUUCCUUGUAAAUCUGUGUAAGAGUGAUUUCUAAUAACCAUGCAACCAAGUCAAUACUAGGCUGUCUUGAAAUCUCCUCUGCCAACAAAAUUAAUCCAAAGCUCUUCAGUUUAGCCUCAGCCCUACAUAUUUUUAUGAUAAGGACAAAAAGGUGCCUAUAUUCUUUGCCAAAAUAUCAUAAUGGUCUCUAACAUGGUUGCUAACAUUGUUUGCCCUAAAACCUCUUGAGUUGGGCCUCCACAGGCCACAUUUACUUAACACUACUUUCCUCCAAGCUCCAGCUGGGAUGUCCCAUUAAGCCCUGCUUACAGCAAUCACUUUCCUAGUCCAAAAUCCCAAAGUCUUUCAUAUUUGUCAAAAAAGAAAAGAAAAAAAGGCAAAACAAAGCAAACAGCAUAAUUGGGCAUUAAGUAGCAAUGCCCCACUUCUGGUACCAACUUCUGUCUUUUAUUUUAUUUUAUUUUCCUGUUGUUAUGAUAAGUCACCAUGACCAAAGAAAGAGGGGAAAGAGUUUACUAGAAGUUUAUAGUUUCAGAGGGCUUGAGUUCAUAACCACCAUGGCAGGGAGCAUGGCAGCAGGCAGGAAGGCUGGUGCUGAAACUGAGAGCUUACACCUUGAUCCACAAGCAUGAAGCAAAGAGAAAGACACUAAGAAUGGUGGAGGGCUUUUGAAGCCUCCAAGCCUAACCCUGUGACAGCUUCUCCCACACCUCCUAAUUCUUCCCAAACAGCUCCACUAACUGGGGACCAAGUAUUCAAGUAGAUAAGCCAACGAGGCAAUUAUCAUUCAGACCAUCACAGAUGCGAUUCAUCAAAUUGGAAUGUUUCAGUGAUUAUUUUUUGAAGUGUCUUCUGUACCUUCUGUUCCUUCCUCCCAGAAUUCUGAUAUGUUGUGUUUGAUGAUGUUUCUCACAGGCCUCUGAUGCUUUCUUUUCUUUCUGGUUGAUUUUCCUCACUCUAGAAAUUUCCUCAGUCUAGAAAUUCUCAAUUUCCCUUAUCAUCAAAUUCAAUGCUGUUCAUCUCUCUAUUGAAUUUCUCAUCUCAGUUAUACUUUCCAAAUCCAGAGUUUUCAUUUGGCUUUUUGUUUUUUACAGUCAUUUACAUCUCUUUAUAAAUGUUCUCUAUGUGCUGAAGUGUACCUCUCAUCUUUAGCAACAGUUCCCUUUAGCAAUUGGAGCAUAAUUAAAAAGGUCUUGGAGAGAUGGUUCAAAGACUAAAAGUGUGUGGUGUGCUUGUAAAGGAUCCAAGUCCAGUUCCUAGUGUCUAGGUUGCUAACAACCGCCUGCUACUGAAGCUCCAGAGGAUCCUGGACCCUCUUAGCCUCUGUGGUUACUGCACCAGUGUAUACAAAUCGACAUACAUGCACAUAGUUUUUUAAAAA